rnacentral:rRNA from 1 species
CUAAACGACUCUCGGCAACGGAUAUCUCGGCUCUCGCAUCGAUGAAGAACGUAGCGAAAUGCGAUACUUGGUGUAAUUGCAGAAUCUCGUGAACCAUCGAGUCUUUGAACGCAAGUUGCGCCCGAAGCCUUAGGUUGAGGGCACGCCUGCCUGGGCGUCACACA